rnacentral:rRNA from 1 species
UACGUAGGGUGCGAGCGUUGUCCGGAAUUACUGGGCGUAAAGAGCUCGUAGGUGGUUUGUCGCGUUGUUCGUGAAAUCCCACGGCUAACUGUGGGCGUGCGGGCGAUACGGGCAGACUGGAGUACUGCAGGGGAGACUGGAAUUCCUGGUGUAGCGGUGGAAUGCGCAGAUAUCAGGAGGAACACCGGUGGCGAAGGCGGGUCUCUGGGCAGUAACUGACGCUGGAGGAGCGAAAGCGUGGGGAGCGAACAGGAUUAG